UACGGGGGGGGCAAGCGUUGUCCGGAAUUACUGGGCGUAAAGGGCUCGUAGGCGGCCAACUAAGUCAGACGUGAAAUCCCUCGGCUUAACCGGGGAACUGCGUCUGAUACUGGAUGGCUUGAGUUUGGGAGAGGGAUGCGGAAUUCCAGGUGUAGCGGUGAAAUGCGUAGAUAUCUGGAGGAACACCGGUGGCGAAGGCGGCAUCCUGGACCAACACUGACGCUGAGGAGCGAAAGCCAGGGGAGCAAACGGG
rnacentral:rRNA from 1 species